GAUGAACGCUAGCUACAGGCUUAACACAUGCAAGUCGAGGGGAAACGAUAGAGAAGGCUUGCUUUUUCUAGGCGUCGACCGGCGCACGGGUGAGUAACGCGUAUCCAACCUGCCCACCACUUGGGAAUAACCUUGCGAAAGUAAGACUAAUACCCAAUGAUAUCUCUAGAAGACAUCUGAAGGAGAUUAAAGAUUUAUCGGUGAUGGAUGGGGAUGCGUCUGAUUAGCUUGUUGGCGGGGUAACGGCCCACCAAGGCGACGAUCAGUAGGGGUUCUGAGAGGAAGGUCCACCACAUUGGAACUGAGACACGGUCCAAACUCCUACGGGAGGCAGCAGUGAGGAAUAUUGGUCAAUGGGCGAGAGCCUGAACCAGCCAAGUAGCGUGCAGGAUGACGGCCCUAUGGGUUGUAAACUGCUUUUAUAAGGGAAUAAAGUGAGCCUCGUGAGGCUUUUUGCAUGUACCUUAUGAAUAAGGACCGGCUAAUUCCGUGCCAGCAGCCGCCGUAA
rnacentral:rRNA from 1 species